AUGCUCACUUUGGCAGCACAUAUACUAAAUUGGAAUGAUACAGAGAAGAUUAACAGAGUCCCUGAGCAAAGCUGACAUGCAAAUUCAAGAAGUAUUCCAUAUUUGU